rnacentral:rRNA from 1 species
ACUCCUACGGGAGGCAGCAGUGGGGAAUAUUGCACAAUGGGCGCAAGCCUGAUGCAGCCAUGCCGCGUGUGUGAAGAAGGCCUUGGGUUGUAAAGCACUUUCAGUCGUGAGGAAGGCGGGUACGUUAAUAGCGUAUUCGUUUGACGUUAGCGACAGAAGAAGCACCGGCUAACUCCGUGCCAGCAGCCGCGGUAAUACGGAGGGUGCGAGCGUUAAUCGGAAUUACUGGGCGUAAAGCGCAUGCAGGUGGUUUGUUAAGUCAGAUGUGAAAGCCCGGGGCUCAACCUCGGAAUUGCAUUUGAAACUGGCAAACUAGAGUACUGUAGAGGGGGUAGAAUUUCAGGUGUAGCGGUGAAAUGCGUAGAGAUCUGAAGGAAUACCGGUGGCGAAGGCGGCCCCUGGACAGAUACUGACACUCAGAUGCGAAAGCGUGGGAGCAAACAGGAUUAGAUACCCCGUGGUAGGACAGUG